rnacentral:rRNA from 1 species
GACGAACGCUGGCGGCGUGCUUAACACAUGCAAGUCGAGCGGUAAGGCCCUUUCGGGGGUACACGAGCGGCGAACGGGUGAGUAACACGUGGGUGACCUGCCCUCAGCUCUGGGAUAAGCCUGGGAAACCGGGUCUAAUACUGGAUAUGACUCCAUGACGCAUGUUGGUGGGGUGGAAAGCCUUGUGCGGCUGAGGAUGGGCCCGCGGCCUAUCAGCUUGUUGGUGGGGUGAGGCCUACCAAGGCGACGACGGGUAGCCGGCCCCUGAGAGGGCGACCGGCCACACUGGGACUGAGACACGGCCCAGACUCCUACGGGAGGCAGCAGUGGGGAAUCUUGCGCAAUGGGCGAAAGCCUGACGCAGCGACGCCGCGUGAGGAUGAC